GCAGGGGUUGCCAAGCCUGGUCAACGGCGCUGGGCUUAGGACCCAGUCUUAUAGAAGUUCGAGGGUUCAAAUCCCUUCCCCUGCA
rnacentral:tRNA from 1 species